UGAUUAGAGUUUGAUCAUGGCUCAGAAUGAACGCUGGCGGCGUGCCUAACACAUGCAAGUCGCACGCAGUUUAAGGGGCAACUCUUGAACUGAGUGGCGCACGGGUGAGUAACACGUAGGUAACCUACCCUUUACUGGGGAACAACCUGUCGAAAGACGGGCUAAUUCCGCAUACGUCCAAGACUGCUCCGGCAGAUUUGGGGAAAGGCGGCCCGCAAGGGCUGUCGGUAAUGGAUGGGCCUGCGUACCAUUAGCUAGUUGGUGGGGUAAUGGCCUACCAAGGCGACGAUGGUUAGCUGAUCUGAGAGGAUGAUCAGCCACACUGGAACUGACACACGGUCCAGACUCCUACGGGAGGCAGCAGUGGGGAAUAUUGCGCAAUGGGCGAAAGCCUGACGCAGCAACGCCGCGUGAGGGAUGAAGGUUCUCGGAUUGUAAACCUCUGUCAGGGGGGACAAAACCUGUGCUGGCUAAUAUCCAGCACAAUUGAUGGUACCCCCAAAGGAAGCACCGGCUAACUCCGUGCCAGCAGCCGCGGUAAUACGGAGGGUGCUAGCGUUGUUCGGAAUUAUUGGGCGUAAAGCGCACGUAGGUGGCUUCAGAAGUCCGGUGUGAAAUCCCUCGGCUUAACCGAGGAAGUGCGCCGGAAACCAUGGAGCUAGAGUACAGGAGGGGAGAGUGGAAUUCCCAGUGUAGAGGUGAAAUUCGUAGAUAUUGGGAGGAACACCGGUGGCGAAAGCGACUCUCUGGACUGUAACUGACACUAAGGUGCGAAAGCGUGGGUAGCAAACAGGAUUAGAUACCCUGGUAGUCCACGCCGUAAACGAUGGGUACUAGGUGUCGCGGGUA
rnacentral:rRNA from 1 species